rnacentral:tRNA from 2 species
GGAGAGGUGGCAGAGUGGUCGAAUGCGCUUGACUUGAAAUCAAGUGAACUGAAAGGUUCCGUGGGUUCAAAUCCCACCCUCUCCG